rnacentral:rRNA from 1 species
GACGAACGCUGGCGGCGUGCUUAACACAUGCAAGUCGAACGCUGAAGGCCCAGCUUGCUGGGUUGGAUGAGUGGCGAACGGGUGAGUAACACGUGAGUAACCUGCCCCCUUCUUUGGGAUAACGGUCGGAAACGGCUGCUAAUACCGGGUAUUCACUGUCCUUCGCAUGGGGGUUGGUGGAAAGGUUUUUUCUGGUGGGGGAUGGGCUCGCGGCCUAUCAGCUUGUUGGUGGGGUGAUGGCUUACCAAGGCUUUGACGGGUAACCGGCCUGAGAGGGUGACCGGUCACAUUGGGACUGAGAUACGGCCCAGACUCCUACGGGAGGCAGCAGUGGGGAAUAUUGCACAAUGGGCGAAAGCCUGAUGCAGCGACGCCGCGUGAGGGAUGACGGCCUUCGGGUUGUAAACCUCUUUCGCUCAUGGUCAAGCCGCAACAGUGGUUGUGGUGAGGGUAGUGGGUAAAGAAGCACCGGCUAACUACGUGCCAGCAGCCGCGGUAAUACGUAGGGUGCGAGCGUUGUCCGGAAUUAUUGGGCGUAAAGGGCUUGUAGGCGGUUUGUCGCGUCUGCCGUGAAAUCCUCUGGCUUAACUGGGGGCGUGCGGUGGGUACGGGCAGGCUUGAGUGCGGUAGGGGAGACUGGAACUCCUGGUGUAGCGGUGGAAUGCGCAGAUAUCACGAAGAACACCGGUGGCGAAGGCGGGUCUCUGGGCCGUUACUGACGCUGAGGAGCGAAAGCGUGGGGGAGCGAACAGG